AGUGAACGCUGGCGGUAGGCCUAACACAUGCAAGUCGAACGGCAGCACAGUAAGAGCUUGCUCUUACGGGUGGCGAGUGGCGGACGGGUGAGGAAUACAUCGGAAUCUACUUUUUCGUGGGGGAUAACGUAGGGAAACUUACGCUAAUACCGCAUACGACCUACGGGUGAAAGCAGGGGAUCUUCGGACCUUGCGCGAUUGAAUGAGCCGAUGCCGGAUUAGCUAGUUGGCGGGGUAAAGGCCCACCAAGGCGACGAUCCGUAGCUGAUCUGAGAGGAUGAUCAGCCACACUGGAACUGAGACACGAUCCAGACUCCUACGGGAGGCAGCAGUGGGGAAUAUUGGACAAUGGGCGCAAGCCUGAUCCAGCCAUACCGCGUGAGUGAAGAAGGCCUUCGGGUUGUAAAGCCCUUUUGUUGGGAAAGAAAAGCAGCAGGUUAAUACCCCGCUGUCCUGACGGUACCCAAAGAAUAAGCACCGGCUAACUUCGUG
rnacentral:rRNA from 1 species